GUUUCCAGGAGAGCCGUGGCCAGAGACUUCAAGUCUGAGAUGGACUGAGGAGUCACCGGCAAGCUGCAGCCGUUUUCCUCAGACAGCAACAGCUCCUUCACUGCACCCACAUCAGUGCGUCUAUAUCCAGGAUCCGGACGUCGUCGUUUCCCACGAUGUGGUUCAUUUCCACGUUGAGCCGAUGAGCUUUCUGCUGAAACACGUCCCGCUCGGCUCGGACGUCCUGCAGCUCAUCCGUGAGCGACUUCACGCUGUGCUCCAGAACCUCAUUCUGCAGAACACAAGCAGAACCUUUUUUACAUUAUGAUUAAUUCCAUUUUUCUUUUACAACUGUGAGGAAAUUAUAUAUUAAACAUGUUCAGCACAAAGAUUCAGGGCUGAACACUCAUGUCUUA